rnacentral:rRNA from 1 species
AUACGGAGGAUGCGAGCGUUAUCCGGAUUUAUUGGGUUUAAAGGGUGCGCAGGCGGGCGAUUAAGUCAGCGGUGAAAGGCUCGGGCUCAACCGGAGCAGUGCCGUUGAUACUGGUUGUCUUGAAUGCGGUCAAGGCCGGCGGAAUGUGGCGUGUAGCGGUGCAAUGCAUAGAUAUGCCACAGAACACCGAUAGCGAAGGCAGCUGGCCGGGCCUGCAUUGACGCUGAGGCACGAAAGCGUGGGGAUCGAACAGGAUUAGAUACCCUGGUAGUCCACGCCGUAAACGAUGGACGCUCGUCGUCGGCGACAGAAUGUCGGCGGCCAAGCGAAAGCGAUAAGCGUCCCACCUGGGGAGUACGGUCGCAAGGCUGAAACUCAAAUGAAUGGACGGGG